GACGAACGCUGGCGGCGUGCUUAACACAUGCAAGUCGAGCGGUAAGGCCCUUUCGGGGGUACACGAGCGGCGAACGGGUGAGUAACACGUGGGUGACCUGCCCUCCAGCUCUGGGAUAAGCCCGGGAAACUGGGUCUAAUACUGGAUAUGACUCCACGGUGCAUGCCGUGGGGUGGAAAGCCUUGUGCGGCUGAGGAUGGGCCCGCGGCCUAUCAGCUUGUUGGUGGGGUGAUGGCCUACCAAGGCGACGACGGGUAGCCGGCCUGAGAGGGCGACCGGCCACACUGGGACUGAGACACGGCCCAGACUCCUACGGGAGGCAGCAGUGGGGAAUCUUGCGCAAUGGGCGAAAGCCUGACGCAGCGACGCCGCGUGAGGGAUGACGGCCU
rnacentral:rRNA from 1 species